rnacentral:rRNA from 1 species
CCCUUAGAUGUUCUGGGCCGCACGCGCGCUACACUGAUGCAUUCAACGAGUCUAAAACCUGCUCUGAUAGGGGUGGGUAAUCUUUUGAAUGUGCAUCGUGAUUGGGAUAGAUGAUUGCAAUUUUUCAUCUUCAACGAGGAAUGCCUAGUAAACGCAAGUCACCAGCUUGCAUUGAUUACGUCCCUGCCCUUUGUACACACCGCCCGUCGCUCCUACCGAUUGAAUGAUCCGAUGAAUAUCAUGGAUUGAGGAUGCAAGUAGGUUCGCCUAUCUUCAUCUUCGAGAAGUGAAGUAAAUCUUAUCAUUUAGAGGAAGGAGAAGUCGUAACA